rnacentral:lncRNA from 1 species
AUAAAUUCCCAUCUUGGAUAUGUCUUUAUCAGCAACAUGAGAACAGAUGAAUAAAAAUUCUCAGACUGGGAGAAAAAUAUGCUAAAGUGCUUCAUUCCCAGAAUAAUAUUCUUGUUAUUUUGUCAUAUGGGCAGCCUACCUGCUUACCUCCUGUCCACACAUCCUAAUAUGAUGCCAACCAGUUAGUAUGUCCUCACUUACUUGCUGACAUGGAUUCUUUGCUUGGCCAAAUUUUAGUCACGUCUUCUGAACAUUCUUCUAGGCCCAUCUGUGCACUUCCUUGUAAAAUACUGUUUUAACUAAGUCAGUUUAGCAACAAUCCCCAAUCUCAGUGUCUGAUCACCCUUGGUAGCUGAUCAUAUUACUUAUCCUCCCUUAUCCCCCAGGUGAUUUCUGAUCUUUCUGGUCUGUUUUUAGCAAGAUCCUGUUAGGUUGGUUUAGCCAGAAUUCCCCUUACCCCUGAUGUUUCUGCUUAGUAAUUUUCCAUCCUCUGACUACCUCAUCUGCUUCUUGGCUACAGAUUCUCACUUGCCCCUGCUGUAUUCGGAGUUGAGUUCAAUCUCCCUAGCCUAUUGUUAAGACUUAGUUGUAGUCAUUCCUGUAGCUACUGCAAUGAUCCUAAAUGAAGUCUUUUUUACUGUGCUUUAACAAGUAUCAUUGAAUAUUUUUUUUCUUUAACAUUACACAAAAAGGAAAACAGCCUGUUCAUUUCAUGGAAGGACGUUUUGGAAAAAUAGAUCCAGACCUACAUAGAAAGGUAUGACAGCUACCUUAAUUCAUCCAUCAAGACCUUUCUUCUUAAUUGUGAAUUACCAACUAUAGAUCAUCAGAGAAUUUAAGAAAAUCGACAAACUAAAUGCAAAGAAACAAGCUAAUGAAAUAGAACAAAUGACUAAAGGAAACAGAAGUAAUUCAAUGAACAUAAGAAAACUUAAAAAAUAUUCUAAUUACAUUCUCAGAAAGAUUUGAGUGCACACUACAUACAUUAGAAGAGAAAAAUAAAGGAAAAUCAGACUGCUAUGAAAACCAAGAUUCAUCAUUUCGCAUUUCUGUAACCAUGAAUGAGGGUGUUUGUUUUCUUAGAACUGUCCAUGUGGAACAUCCUGUCAGCCUCAGCUUUUUAACAAUCAGGAAGAAAGUCACACAACCACAUAUUUUCUGAACAUAAGCUGAACUUCUACUUCCAUGGAGUGAGUUACUUCACCUCAUUGGCAAAAGACAACAGAAGAGUCCAAAGUCUGAGGGGACUGGGCAAGCUUCUGUCACAUGCUUUCAGAAUGAAGACAAUCUGCAAGAAUUUUAAGUUGUGACCUCUACAGAGAAAAGAAUGAAAAGUAGCCAAAUCUCCACAUGAGAGAUUUUGGACUAUUUUGCAGUGUAAACCCCAUCUGAUUUAUAUGAAGUAAGCAGACUUUCUCUCCAAGAGUUCAAAAUAAAUUAAUUCUAAUGCUAAA